GACCUCUGACAACCAAUUCUUAAAAAAUACUUCUGUCUUCAGGCCUGCCUUCCCCACAUGAAGUCUCAGUAACUCUGAAGAGCAAAGUGAGAAGAGGGCAGUGUUACACUGGGAGAAACCACUUGGAGAUGUGCCAGAUUUCCCCACGUCUCCUGGUAUUAGUUCCUGGUUUGUUCCUUAAUGUGAAUGAAACCCAUUUUGAGCAGACAGAAGAGCAAUACCGGAAGGCUGGGAUUCUGAGUUUCACCUAGAACGGAGAAGCCAGGACUUGGGAUUUUCCCCUCAAUCACCAUGCUGUGCUGAUGUGAGGAGCUCUGCUCUUUUGGAUCUUCAGAAGUCUGCCAGCCCACCCUGCAAAUUUGGAUUUGCCAGCCUUCAUACUCAGGAACACAAGGAUGGCAACCCAGAAGGACUGGAAGAAGCUGCCUUGAUGAUCAUGGUUUUGUGCCCAGCUGUAUGUACAACUCAUAACCCAGACAAAGUUUGUUACA